rnacentral:rRNA from 1 species
CCUACGGGGGGCAGCAGUGGGGAAUAUUGGACAAUGGGGGCAACCCUGAUCCAGCCAUGCCGCGUGUGUGAAGAAGGCCCUCGGGUUGUAAAGCACUUUCAGUGAGGAAGAACGCCUGGUGGUUAAUACCCAUCAGGAAAGACAUCACUCACAGAAGAAGCACCGGCUAACUCCGUGCCAGCAGCCGCGGUAAUACGGGGGGUGCGAGCGUUAAUCGGAAUUACUGGGCGUAAAGCGCGCGUAGGUGGCUUGAUAAGCCGGUUGUGAAAGCCCCGGGCUCAACCUGGGAACGGCAUCCGGAACUGUCAAGCUAGAGUGCAGGAGAGGAAGGUAGAAUUCCCGGUGUAGCGGUGAAAUGCGUAGAGAUCGGGAGGAAUACCAGUGGCGAAGGCGGCCUUCUGGACUGACACUGACACUGAGGUGCGAAAGCGUGGGUAGCAAACAGGAUUAGAUACCCGAGUAGUC